rnacentral:rRNA from 1 species
UACGUAGGGUGCAAGCGUUGUCCGGAAUUAUUGGGCGUAAAGAGCUCGUAGGCGGUUUGUCGCGUCUGCCGUGAAAGUCCGGGGCUCAACCCCGGACUUGCAGUGGGUACGGGCAGACUAGAGUGUGGUAGGGGAGACUGGAAUUCCUGGUGUAGCGGUGAAAUGCGCAGAUAUCAGGAGGAACACCGGUGGCGAAGGCGGGUCUCUGGGCCGAUACUGACGCUGAGGAGCGAAAGCGUGGGGAGCAAACAGG